CCGGGGCCGGAUGUGGCUCGAACGCGGGUCCUGCGCGCGUGAGGUGGGGGCAGGCCCGCCAGGCUGAGCACCGCCGCUCGAGGAGUGUAAUGGACGGCGUGAGGAACAAGGGGAGACAGGCUGCGUCUGCUGCUUCCAGAAUGACACCCUGCCUCCCUGCCCGCUGUGGCGCGACGUCGUUGGGGCCUCGGCUCUCUUGUCAGAAUGAGCCGUUAUUACAGUGUGGCUGGCGGCUGGUUGUAGCCUGUCCCCCGGGGAGAGCAGGAAGGCGGCGCAGCCCUGCGCUCUCUGCUGCUUGGCCCCGCGGCGCUGGGGAGCCUGCAAGCCUCGGGCUGCGGUCGCACAGACACUCGGCUUUUAGGAAGGCUUGCUAGAGAAACCAAUGAAUCGUAGUCGGGUAGAGGCCACGCACAGGUUUCCCUCGCUUGAUGCGGGUUCUGUAUGUGCGAAUUCGCUCUCAUGGGAUGACCCUUUUUAUACCAAAAGUUCGUUAUAUGGGAGGUGAAUUUGCUCUUAUGCAAUCAGCGAGGUGGAAGCCCGCAGUCAGGGUGCAUCGCACCUAAAUACAGCCUCCUGUGUGGGCCUGUGCUCCGCUCGCUGCCUGCAACACGUGUUUCUGUAGUUUCCGUCCCCAUUAUGAUAAUGCCCUGCACUUGUGUGCAUUGUCUGCUGUUGGUAAGUACCGAGAUUGUCUUGUAAAAGUGGUAGAAAUGAGUCUGGGGGUCAGUACAGUCAGGGUCUCAAAACACAUCCCUAUUUGUUACCUUGUAAAGCGGGUUCCCUUUAUGUGAAUUCGAGUUAUGCACCGUUUUCCAGGAACACAUGCACAGCGCAAAGUGAGGGAAACCUGUACACGGAUCCUGCUGAUCUUCAGAGGUGGCUGCAGACAUGCCAGCGGCUUUAGAAAUCUCAGGCCUCUCGCCCAGAAAUGUCUUCUCUCUACUUCCCCGCUCUUGGUUUUCAAGCGCUGUGGAUACCCGUUGUCCAUCUCCCUGUGAGCUCUCAGCUAAACUAUAGUCAACUUUAGCACCAGAAUAAGCACUUUCAAAGGGCAGAGAUGAACAUCUUUAGGAAAACUUUGUGAGAGUUGGACUCAUGCUUGACUCUCCUAUGAUACUUUAGAUUUCUAGUAGAGGUAAGACUCCUAAUGAAGAAAUACAUUUAAAAGAUUUUGGUUAUAAAUGACAAACUAUUGACCGCUAGUUUCCAUUUCAGGUAUUUUUAUAGUCUCCGACUUCUGCAGUUGUGGCUGGGGUUAUUCUGGCCUGGUGGCAGUGAUGUGUCAGGUAGAGGAUGUCUCUUAGAGAUGCCUCUAAGCUUUCUCAGUUGUCUUAGUUCUUUGGUCUUCUGGCCUUCCAGUAAAGGCAUAUUCUUGAUGUGACCAAGAACCUGACGUGCCUUUAAUCCAGUCAUUGGUGCUUUCUUCUCCUGGUACUAUUAUAAAUGGUAUCUUUUUCAAAUGUAUUUCUUUCCAUCUAUUCCAACUGCUUCAGAAAUAAAGAUGUCUUCUGACUGGUUGCUUUUUUUGCUAACAGUAAUUGGAUGGUGAUAGUGUGAGAAACCCUGCUUAAACCUUUUUCCAGUUCUCUCCAUUUCGGGAAAACUUCAACCUUGGGGCUUUUAACCACUUCAUUUUUCCACUUAGUAUUUUUCUUAGUUCUCUUUAUUCUUGGCACCAGGCAGAGUUCAGGGGCAUCUUACAGGCACCCUAAACAUUGGGUGAUCUGCUCUUCUGUAUCUGGUCCCAAAAAGGCUGUGUACAUGUAUUGCAAACAUCUCCCCCAUGUUGUUUGAGAAGCUCAGCUUAUAUCAGUACAUUUUAAUGACAAAACAUAACUAAUGGUAUACUGAUAUAGUAAAACACACCCAAAAAGUGAAACUAGUUACAUUGGGAAAAGUACAGUUUUUUGCCAGUACUGUUAUGUCUGUGUUUUUGUUGCACAGCCAUGUCAUGAUGCCUCUGAUGUAGGUAUGGUAGUAGAAGCUGAUAACCUAGACCAGUGGUUCCCAACUUAUGUAGACUCAAGGAACCUCCAUAACUUUUGAGAUCUGAAUGGCACCCCAUUCCAAAAAUUAAUGCAUGUAUUGGUCCUUUUCUCUUUGCAGAGGGCUUAAGGGAUGGGGUUAGGAGAGUGGUGAGACAGGGAGAGCAUGAGCCUGCAUUCAUCUGCUUGCUUCUUCCCACCUCUUGUGGCACCUCUCAAAGGAUCUCAUUGCACCCAAAGGGUGCCACAGCACCUUGGUUGACAGUCACUGACAGAAAUUAGAUUACAGCUUUAUUAACCCAACUUGCCUGGGAACUAUCCAGUAAUAACAUAUGCAGUACACUUCGUGAUCCUUUCCUUAAUUAUUUCCAUCUGGUGGAGGACUUCCAUCCAUUUCCCCCCAUCUACUUCAUCGCUGGUCCUCGGCCUGUUGCUGACACCCUGCUAUCAUCUCCUAUAUAAAACUUAAGGGGCUGAAGAAAUGAGUUUGUCUGCUUGUUGUACCAGACAUUAUGGGUUCCAACAUCAUUCCUAGGCUUUCUGGAGCAGUGACUUUCCCCAAGUUUAUUCUAGUUCUGGUUUAUCAAUGACCUACACCAAUGGAACAAGUACCUGCUCAUUCUUUUUGUUGCUGCCACUCUCCCUGGAUUGUCCCCCUACCUCACAUGCACUGUAGGAGGGGAGGAGCUCAGAUGUCCUUUUUGCAGGGCAAACUGGCUACCAAGUAAUUGGGGAACGUGAUCAGCCAUGCUGCCAUUCUUUUCCAUCUGCAGAGCGAGAGAAGCUUUUUCUUCAGAAUCUUAGGAAAAUAGAAGUAGAAGGGACCUCAUGGGGUCAUGUAGUCCAGCUGCCUGCUCAAGGCAGGGUCAUCCCUUAAUAAACUGCCCCAGGCAAGUGUCUGAAAAUGCUCUUGAAAAUGUCCAUGGAUGUCCAUUCCACAACCACUCUAGGUAACCUCUCUAGGUUGCAUUAAGUACACACUCUUGGUCCACUGUAACCCACAGGUCCUUCUCUGUGGUCCUGCAGCCUAGCCAAUCAUUCCUCAGUCUGUAUUUGUACAUGCAAUUAUUCCAUCCCAAGGGGCAGGGCUUUGCACUUGAAUUUAGUAUUAUUAAUUAUGGACCAUUUUUCCAGUUUAACCAGUUUGUUUUGGAUCCUAGUUGUACCCUCUGACUGUCUGCCACUCUUCCCAACUCAGUGUUAUCAAUAAAUUUGCUAAGCAUGCACUUAGUCCUGUUCUUCAAAUCAUUAUUGAAGAUGUUAACCAAUACUGGACUCAGCAGAGACUCCUGGGGAACCAACCCCAUGAUACCUCCUCCCAAGUAGACCUUGAGCCAUUGUGGACUGCUUGUUGACCAAGAUGAUCCAACUAGUUAUAUAUCCACUUUCCAGAAUGUCUAUCUAAUCUGUAUUUUUGUAGCUUAUUAAUGAGAACAUUGGGAGGGAAAUGGUAUCAAAAGUUUGCUGAGAUCAAGACAUAUAUAGGCAACCCCUGCUUAUCACUGUUUUGCUUAGCGCUUUUUCACUAUAACAUUUUAUUUUGAUACCUGAUUCCACUUAGCGCUCAGCAAGUUUCGUUAUAACACUCACAGGUAUCAUACAGCACGGAGGAAAAUUGUUUUCGCUUAACACUAUUCUGCUUAAUGCUCGGUUUUUCAGGAACCAAUUAAGAGUGCUAAGCAGCGGUUGCCUGUAUCACGUUCCUGGCCCUCCCCACAUCCACAGAGCCUGUCCCCUUAUAAUCACUGAAAAUCAAAUUGGUCAGGCACAGUUUGCUCUUGAUGAAUCCACACUGGCUGUUCCUGAUCACCCUGUUCUCCUCCAGCUGCUCUGAACUAGAUUCCUUGAUGACUGAAGUCAGGCUGGCGGGUCUGUGCUUCCCAAAGUUCUCUUUCCUUUUUAAAGAUGGGGACUAUAUUUGCCCUUUACUAGUCACCUGAGGCAUCAUGUGGCACAGGUUCUCAACAAUGAUGAUCAGUGGCUCAAAUUCCCUCAGCCAAUUCCUUCAGUAAUCUAAGGCAAGGGUCAGCAACCUAUAUAGUCCAUGGGUGAGAAACAGCCUACCAAGAGAUCCAAUCCGUCACUGGAAAUUUGUCUUACAGAGCUGUGCUGCACUGGCAUUAGGGACUUUUUUGCUGCAGAGCCUGCUGCUCUUCAGUGUCUGAGUUGACCCCUGUUGCAGAGGGGCUGGGAAUCUGGCAGCCACUUGUUUGGGGUGGGGGGCAGAGAUUUCUAGUUUGCAGAAACAGUUGGGUCAUAAACUCUGGCCUGCACCAGCAAAAGGCUUCCAAACCCCUGCUCCAGGGUAUUUUCUGUCCAGCCCUGCCUACUUGAAAGCAUCUAGUUUUUCUAAAGAAUCCCGUAUUCAUUCUUACACUACUCUAGGCUGUUUGCCUCCUUCACUAUUUUUCUUUCCAACUGCACUCGUCAUUUGGUGACUGGCAUGAUUUGUAAGCAUUAAAAUAUAAAAGCUGUUAAGUACCUUGGAUUUUUUUCCAUCCUCAGUAACUAGAUUGCCUUGUGCAUUCUAUAAAGGUCCUAUGCUUUCUUUGGUCUUCCUCUUACUUCCAACAUACUUAUAGAAUCCCUUUUUAUUCCCUUUCUGUUCCUUGCCAGUUGCAUUUCUUGCUAGUUCUUUCUCUUAACUCCAGCUGCUGUUGCUGUGGCUGCCAUCGCUACCUACCUCUCAUGUCAUACACUAUUAAAGUCCAGCCCCUGUUUUAAAAGCUGCAGCUUCACAAUAGGUGAAGGUCUCUGGCUUCUAACCAAAACCAAGGAAGUGGCUACAAUAACAAUGAAAAAUAUUUUGCACAUACUUUUGUUUGCUUGCUAGAUUUCCAGUCUUGGGAAGUGCUAUUGCAGGAAAAUUGUGGCAUGAAGACAUCUUAGCUAAUCAGUAUACUUGGGGUAACCUUUUCUGGAUGAAAAAAAGCACAGGACGUGGGGGAUAUUUGCAGGCAGAACUGUAGAAGUAUGAAUAUACUAUGGGUCCUCACAAUCAAGAACGAGAGUAGUCAUUUCAGUUCAGCUAAUCUAGUUUGUAAAAUGCAUAUUCUAAAUCUAAAAAGCACUCAGUCCGAAUGACGUGUGUGUACUCAGGGAAUUCUAUCAGUAGAACCAGCACUGUGAUUACAUCAAUACCUUCCUGUAGGUGAAGUCACCAGCUGUGUAAGAUACUAACCCUUGCGCUUAGAAAUUCAUAUAACAUUUUUUUCUAUCAAAACACAACAACAGAUUGUACAUGUUAACCACCAGCUGUAUGCAAUGUCACCACUUGACAGACAUAAUAUCACCUCUUUAACAAAACAGCAUAGCAACUGUAAGUGAAUGAGUUUUGAGUAGAGGCAGACAUGCAUCAUAGGAAGAUAGCACUAAUGUUAGCAAGAAGUUGAAUCUGUUGGGAGUAGAAGGCUGUUGACCACUAUAUAUUUAAAAGUCAUGAAAAGAAGUUCUGAAGCAGAAAUUGAUCUUUACAGAACAAAAAUCUCAAAUUGGAAAUGGGAACAAACUCAAAAAGCAUUUCAGGUCCACUUAAAAAAUUAUCUCUGAGAAGAGAGUGGAGUGGAAGCCAGACAGGUGCCAAUGUGGGCUCCUGAGGAAUGGUUCCUCCUUUUUAAUUUGGAAUAAAAUAAUGACAACAUCAUGGGCAGUGGGGCCACCUGCUGGAGAUGGAAACCUUGAGGCCCCCACAGGCAACAGCCAGCAGCAACAGGAGAUGACCACAGUGUGGAAGUGCACCACCCACUGGCUGGCAUUUGCAGAACAGACGUGUUGCACUUGCCACGUCACAAUAAAUGUUCUGUGAUCUUGCAGGCUCCGAUGAGCUUGGACAGCAUGUGGUGAGUUGGGAGCCGAGCUGCCUAAGCAGACAGAGGCAGUAUUUUGGGGGUUCAUUCCUGCAUCUUAACAAUGUGUUUUCAUAUGUUUCUGUUUUGAUGCCAUUUGACACCAAGGUGAGAGAGCAAUGUGUAGAUUUGCCACCAUCUAGAACUGAUCAUGCUGGUCCAUCACAUUGGACAGAGGAAGUAAGAUAGGACUUCAAAGAUCAAACUGCUCCAAAAAAAGAAGGAUGGUGAACCACAUUGCUCCACUCUUCGCUGUCCACUGUCAUUUUACUUCCUCCAUCUCCUAUUACAAGUCCAGUAAAUAACACUGCAAUGACAGUAAACCUGGGGAAUACAGGGAAUGUCCAAACUGGAUGUCAGGCACCAAAGAACCUGCUCAAGCUGUAAGUUCUUCCCCCUGCCUUGACUAAUCACUCUACUUCUCCAGACUCCCACCAGCAUAUAGACUGGGAAAAUGGCAAAACUGACAGAAAAGAUGCAGGAAAGGAGGCUGAAAAAAAACUUACAAGUGGACUGGAUUUACUAAAGAGGAUGAUCAACAAGGUUGCAGCUGGGGGCCAUGGGCCUGUCUGGUGGAGUGGGACCAGGAGAUGCAGGAUUCAGAGUGACCUAGACAAAUUGGAGGACUGCAAUCCAAAAGGAAUCUCAUGAGGUUCAACAAAGACAAGUGCAAAGUCCUGCAACAGUCCCUAAGAAGUGCAAGAACAAUCCCAUGCACCAGGACAGGCUGGGGGCUGACUGGUUGGGCAGCAGCUCCACAGAAAAGGACAUGGGGGUUACAGUGGACAAUAAGCUGAACAUGAGCCAGCAGUGUGCAAUUGUCACCAAGAAGGCUAAUGGCAGGAGUGUUGCCAGUACAUGAAGGGAAGUGAUUCUUCCCCUCUAUUCAACACUGGAAAGGCCACAUCUGGAGUAUUGUGUUCAGUUUUGGGCCCCCCACUACAGAAAGAAUGCGGACAAAUUGGAGGGAGUCCAGUGGACGGCGACAAAAAUGGUGGGACAUGGGGAAGAAGAAAUCCACCUCAUGCUGGAAAACCUCCUCAAAGAACUUCUGCCUGUCACGCAGUUUGAGCUGCUGCUGC